AUUGAACGCUGGCGGCAGGCCUAACACAUGCAAGUCGAACGAGUGGCGGACGGGUGAGUAAUGUCUGGGAAACUGCCUGAUGGAGGGGGAUAACUACUAGCAACGGUAGCUAAUACCGCAUACCAUCGGAUGUGCCCAGGUGGGAUUAGCUAGUAGGUGGGGUAAAGGCUCACCUAGGCGACGAUCCCUAGCUGGUCUGAGAGGAUGACCAGCAACACGGGACCUGAGACACGUUCCAGACUCCUACGGGAGGCAGCAGUGGGGAAUAUUGCAAAAUGGGCGAAAGCCUGAUGCAGCCAUGCCGCGUGUAUGAAGAAGGCCUUGGGGUUGUAAAGUACUUUCAGUGGGGAGGCGUUACCCGCAGAAGAAGCACCGGCUAACUCCGUGCCAGCAGCCGCGGUAAUAC
rnacentral:rRNA from 1 species